rnacentral:tRNA from 1 species
GCGGCAGUAACUCAGUAGUAGAGCCUCCACUUCGUAUGCGGGGAGACCUGGGUUCGAUUCCCGGCUGCUUCC